CCUUUGCUAUUUGGCUUGUAUGCACCGUAAAUCCAAAAGCAGCAGUUUCUCAGUGACAAGGCCAUCCAGAGCUCAAAGAGAACCUGGCCCAAAGAACGUGAGCAAAGUGCCCAUAGUCAGCCCCAACCCACAGUGGCCUUGGACUCUGCACUCAUCUCUCACACCCCUGGGACAGCAUCUCCAAGCCAGGCACCUGCAGCCCUUCACUUCUGUGAUUCGUGUGCUCACCCUUGGGUGGGUUCUGGGCCUUGACCAUAGGCUUCCAGAUUCUCCAAUGGUUUUCAGUUCUUCUCUGGACCAAGAUGCACAAAGACACAUGUAAUCGAGCGACUGGUGUCCUGGAUGAUGCAGGAGAGCCAUGAGGGACAACCCAAUGGACAAGACACCUGGACCGAGGCUAUCUGGAUUCAAGUCUUUAACUCCAGCACUGAUUUGUGGAGUCAAGCAGGAGUGCAGGCAACAGAGCACGCAGCAUUCACCAUACCUGUGAUUGUCAAAGUCACGGAUAUCUCCACGUCACAUUGCAGUUUCUGCAAGUAUCUCAAAUACCUUUCAUGCUUUUCUCUAUUUUGGAAUUAUGGUCGUUAUUAG